UCGUGUAUUAUUACGUUUGAAAUUCAGAUUGCCAGUGGACAGUCCGAAACAAAAAACAAUUCUCAACUAUUUUUUUUCCUCGGCGGCAAUCUGAAUAAUUUAUGACGAUGGUGUAGUACUACUGUCGACCGGUUACAUGCAACAACGAUGCCGCGCUUCAAAACGCAUUGGCGUCACGUCGGUUUCCGUUUCGAUAUCGCCAAGUAAUCACGACCAGACGAUAAGACCUCCUGGCGUUCCGUACGGCCACAACACGAACCGUAUCAUAGUAUUGUGCGCCGCGAACAACGUUGUGGUACACACCGUACAGACGUCUAUAAAUGCACCGUAAACGAAUACCACUUGUUAUCUCGUUGGACUGCGCAAUAGCAAUUAAAUAAUUUGCCCGCGUACGAUUACCACCUCAAUGACCGUGUGAGAAUUACCGUUUUGGUAGCCAAUGGAAACACCAUCUCAGUGUUGCGACAUCGGCAUAUGACAAUUAGCCACCCCGAGUAUUUUACUUAACAGUUGCUAGAGAUCCAAAUCUACACUCUUCCGACAGCUCAUCAAAGAACUAGAAUAUAUUUGAUAAAAGGUAGAUCCCAUUGAGAAUAGAUAACUACCGGGCAAACACCAAGUUAUUUAACCAACUUUAAUGUCUAACGAGAACCUUAAAAUGGGCAACUUCAAACCUGCUAAUCGAGACAGUGAAACGUCAAGAGGACUACGGUAGAGGAUAUUAGGACUUGAAGUAAAUUGCGUUGUUUCGCCAACGUAAGAUCAAUUUCAGCAGAUUUAAUGAACAAUAAAGAUCUCUUUAAUUGUGUGUUGUCUAUACUUAUGCAUCAUACUUGUGUCACGUACGAUCAUAUUCAAUUAUAGUAAUUUUACAGGUUUUUUUAUUAAAAAUUUUUAGUGCAAUGAAAAUCAUAUCCCAGAUGACGAUAGAUCGUAUUUUAAACAAAAUUCUCUGUUGAAAUUUGCACUUGAUUAUUAUGUUCUUCAAACAUUGUUACGAGAAGAAAAUUGACGUAUUUUAUUUCAGAAUUUUUUAGGGCGACAAUAAGCUAAAUUUAAUACAUUUCUGUAGUCGCAUACUGUCAAAUUAAAUGAACAAAUUGACUUAAUCGAACCUAAAUGUACUCGCGGUUAUUCAAAUACGCGUAAAGACUUGAGUUUUACGUUGUAAAAAGUAAAUUCUGUAUACAUAUUUUGACUUGAACGAAAUUUUUAUCACUGUUUUUAUUCGGAAAUUUAGUUGCUUUUAAUUAAUAGUAACAAAUUUAGUAUCGCAAACUCAUAACAGGUGCAAUACUGAUAAAUAAUGGCUAAAGCAUCAACAGCUAAUAACACAUUGUGAGUUUUUUUUUUAUAAGCGAGUUUAAUGACCUUAUAUUAUUAUUGUUAUCGUAUAUUUUUUGAUUUUUGAAAUUGGAAACGCGCCGAAAUGACAUGAACGUCCAUGAGAGAUGUACGCCACAUGUUGGCGACUCGAGUUCUUUUAGAGACAAAAAAGUUGCCGACCGAGGGAAACAAUAAUGUAUACAUUUGCAAAAUGAAUGGAAACAAUAAACAUGUAUAUAGCGACGAGUAGGUCACAGAUGUAUUGUAAUGAAAAUGUGAUAUGUACAUCUGAAAAAGUACGGAAACCGACUUGGAAAUUUCAAUUACAAUACAGGUGUCGGUUGUAAAGAGUAGAACACAAAAAUUGAACGGAGGCACGUUUCCGUUAAAAAAAACCAUAGAUACACACGCGCGCUUAAACAUAUCAACCUAGUUUCAAUAACAAAUACAUACAAAUAUACCAAUUCUUGUGCACGUGUAGCCAAUCAUACGAAUAUCGUCAUGAUGUUUUUGAAAUCUCCAACUUGGUAUAUUGCUAAAAGUUUAUCUAUUUUUGCCAUCUUCGUGUUAAUCUACGUACUUUCCACACAGUCGCAGUUUAUCGAUAAAUUUUUAAUUUAAAACAAUAAAUUUUCAAAAAAAACAUUUCCUUAAAUAUUCUAUUCUGCCGAAAGUUCGAUGGCGAUUGAAUAAUACGCUGUACAGCAUUGCACGCACACAAAACGUGCAUAUUUUAAGUUCAUCAAUAGCUUUUCGACCAAAUUUUAAUAAUUCGAAUGAUACUAGUUUGCAUUUUAUUAUUCCACAGAUUCCUAUAAAAUUUGAACAGUAACCACAGUACACCGUAGCACAAUAAUUAUAGUUGAAUGUUAAAAUAAUAUUUUACCGGAGAAAAAUUAUGCAAAGAGUAAAUGGUAAAGGCGAAAUCAUUCGUAUAAAUCACUGUAUUUACUAAGUACACUAAAAAUACAAAUUACUGAAGACUUGCUCCCAACUCUGGUGACACAAAAGUCUUCUAUAGACAAAUUUUAACUCCCUAAAUCAUUUUCACGUAAAAACCACGUCGAAGAGGUAGGGAAAAGUUAUCGUGAUAAAAAAAAAGACGUUUGGUCAGCUUAAAUAUACCAGUUAAGUUCUUUUUGAUAGUUUUCCCUAUUUCGACUAUUGAAUACAAAAUAAAUCUGGUUCUCAUUAAGAAAAAAGCUAAAUUUAAACCCAAUUUUAAUAUAUGCAUGGUUAAAAAUUAUACAAAGAGAAAAACGAUGAAAUAAUAAAUUAAAAUUAUAUUAUGUCUUUUGCACGUUAUUAAUAUUGCCCACGUUAGUAAUAUUAUUAACAUUUGAUUAUUUAUUUUUUUAUUUUUAAUUCAGCCUUCACUGGUAUUUUUAGAACAGUAAAAGGAAAUCGAGAAUUAUUGAAAAACACUUUCGACGUAGACAAUUUCAAGUCGUAUUGGUUUUUACAAAUUACCUAAGAAACAGCAAAAGAUAACUCCAAUUAGGUUUUGAUAUAAAUGUUGAGGGCUAUAUUGCGGCGUUUAACAAGUAGAGUUAUAUAUUGCGGUGAAUGGAGUAUAAAUUUUCUUUUGUUCUUUAAAAGCACCGAAUCUGUUUAUAACGACAUUGAAUAAAAUGAUUAAUAAACUAAUUAGCUAACGCCUCUUAAGUGUGUGGACGGGUAUCCAUUUACAAUUUGCUAUUGACCUGACUUGGAUAGUAUCGUGCGAUUUUUAAGUAAAUUGCCAAAUGUCUCUCGAGCAUGUUCGCAAUUACUGCAAGACUUUCCCUAAGCUCUAAUUGCUGAACUGUUUGUUUUAUUUACUAGCGAAAUUUCAAAUAAACGCAGUAAUAAUUGAUCACUACUACAACAUAUUGUAACAUUAAAAAUCCAUUAGUUAAAUAAACAGAUAUCAUUAUAGUUGAAAAUAAAUUUAAAUAUCAGCAAUUUAGGUACUAUUAUACUAGUUUCACACGUCUUCACAAAAAAUAAUAUGAACAAUAUUUUUUGUUAUUGUAUUCCGGGGCAAAUAUUUCAAAGACUAAGCCUGAAACGAAUAACAUAAAAUACAAUAUUACGGACCAUUGUGGAGAAGAGUGCAGAGGGAUUCAGGUACAAUGAUUACUAUAUGGUCGCGGUGGAAACAGUGUCUAUGGUUAGGAUCCGUCAUCAACCGUAGUCACCUCCACCCUCGCACAAUACAUUAUUUUCCAAACCGUUAUCGAAUUUAUACGCGGGACAGUCACAAAAGAACAAUAAUGGAUCACUUUUAAGAUUCUUAUCGAAAGAAAAGAACCGUGUGCGGAUAAAAAAAAUCUUGCUGCCGUCCAUUUAAUUUCAAUUGGGAGCACAAACCGCCGACGAUGACAUUUACAAACUGUGAUGUAGCGUAUGAAGUGUCAAGCAGAAAAUAAUGUGAGCAGGUGGAUUUUUGUGUCAUUCACAGACACUUCUUCCUUUUGACCGUCUUUUAUACAAACAUUAUACAAGUUCAUAAAACAGAAAUGAAAACAGAAGUCAUUAGAGUUAAUUCUAUCGAGAAAUCGCACAAAAAGGAAAAUUAAAUUCCAGGAAAGCAAUUAAGCGAAUAACGAUUGACAAUAACUACAAUAGACCACACAUAAAACAACCGAUUGACUUAAUUCUUCGAAAUGAUUAAUAAAUUUAAUAUUUACAAUUUCGUUUGUUUGUUUUCUAGAUAGAUUUUCAUACAUUUUACAUUUCAAGUACCAUUUAAUCCUUCUAUUUGCUCUUUAUGCGUA